rnacentral:rRNA from 1 species
AUGUGACCUCAAAUCAGGUAGGACUACCCGCUGAACUUAAGCAUAUCAAUAAGCGGAGGAAAAGAAACUAACAAGGAUUCCCCUAGUAACUGCGAGUGAAGCGGGAAAAGCUCAAAUUUAAAAUCUGGCAGUCUUUUGGCUGUCCGAGUUGUAAUCUAGAGAAGUGUUAUCCGCG